rnacentral:rRNA from 1 species
AACGAACGCUGGCGGCAUGCCUAACACAUGCAAGUCGAACGAGACCUUCGGGUCUAGUGGCGCACGGGUGCGUAACGCGUGGGAACCUGCCCUUAGGUUCGGAAUAACUCCCCGAAAGGGGUGCUAAUACCGGAUAAUGUCUUCGGACCAAAGAUUUAUCGCCUUUGGAUGGGCCCGCGUUGGAUUAGCUAGUUGGUGGCGUAAAAGCCUACCAAGGCGACGAUCCAUAGCUGGUCUGAGAGGAUGAUCAGCCACACUGGGACUGAGACACGGCCCAGACUCCUACGGGAGGCAGCAGUGGGGAAUAUUGGACAAUGGGCGAAAGCCUGAUCCAGCAAUGCCGCGUGAGUGAUGAAGGCCUUAGGGUUGUAAAGCUCUUUUACCCGGGAUGAUAAUGACAGUACCGGGAGAAUAAGCUCCGGCUAACUCCGUG